rnacentral:rRNA from 1 species
UGUUAGUUAUUGUAGUAAUACAAGGCAGACGGCUCAGUAACACGUAGUCAACCUAACUUAUGGACGGGGAUAACCUCGGGAAACUGAGAAUAAUACCCGAUAGGUCAUGAUGCCUGGAAUGGUUUAUGACUCAAAUAAUUUAUUGCCGUAGGAUGGGACUGCGAGCUAUCAGCUUGUUGGUGAGGUAAUGGCCCACCAAGGCUAUUACAGCUACGGGCUCUGAGAGGAGUAGCCCGGAGAUGGGUACUGAGACAAGGACCCAGGCCCUAUGGGGCGCAGCAGGCGAGAAAACUUUGCAAUGCGCGAAAGCUCGACAAGGUUAAUCUGAGUGGUUCCUGCUAAAGGAACCUUUUGUUAGUCGUAGAACCACUGAUGAAUAAGGGGUGGGCAAGUUCUGGUGUCAGCCGCCGCGGUAAAACCAGCACCUCAAGUGGUCAGGAUGAUUAUUGGGCCUAAAGCAUCCGUAGCCUGUUCUGUAAGUUUUCGGUUAAAUCCAUAAGCUCAACUUAUGGGCUGCCGAAAAUACUGCAGAACUAGGGAGUGGGAGAGG